GACGAACGCUGGCGGCGUGCUUAACACAUGCAAGUCGAGCGGAAAGGCCACUUCGGUGGUACUCGAGCGGCGAACGGGUGAGUAACACGUGAGUAAUCUGCCCCUGGCUUUGGGAUAGCCACCGGAAACGGUGAUUAAUACCGGAUAUGACCACUUCACGCAUGUGAUGGUGGUGGAAAGUUUUUCGGCCAGGGAUGUGCUCGCGGCCUAUCAGCUUGAUGGUGAGGUAAUGGCUCCCCAUGGCUUCGACGGGUAGCCGGCCUGAGAGGGUGACCGGUCACACUGGGACUGAGACACGGCCCAGACUCCUACGGGAGGCAGCAGUGGGGAAUAUUGGAUAAUGGGCGGAAGCCUGAUCCAGCAACGCCGCGUGAGGGAUGACGGCCUUCGGGUUGUAAACCUCUUUCGCCUGUGACGAAGCGCAAGUGACGAUAACAGGUAAAGAAGCACCGGCCAACUACGUGCCAGCCGCCGCCGUAAGAC
rnacentral:rRNA from 1 species